AUGGAGCCGACCUUGAAAUACCACCCUUUAAUGUUUGAUGUUCUAACGUUGACCCGUAAUCCGGGUUGCGGACAGUGUCUGGUGGGUAGUUUGACUGGGGCGGUCUCCUCCUAAAGAGUAACGGAGGAGCACGAAGGUUGGCUAAUCCUGGUCGGACAUCAGGAGGUUAGUGCAAUGGCAUAAGCCAGCUUGACUGCGAGCGUGACGGCGCGAGCAGGUGCGAAAGCAGGUCAUAGUGAUCCGGUGGUUCUGAAUGGAAGGGCCAUCGCUCAACGGAUAAAAGGUACUCCGGGGAUAACAGGCUGAUACCGCCCAAGAGUUCAUAUCGACGGCGGUGUUUGGCACCUCGAUGUCGGCUCAUCACAUCCUGGGGCUGAAGUAGGUCCCAAGGGUAUGGCUGUUCGCCAUUUAAAGUGGUACGCGAGCUGGGUUUAGAACGUCGUGAGACAGUUCGGUCCCUAUCUGCCGUGGGCGCUGGAGAACUGAGGGGGGCUGCUCCUAGUACGAGAGGACCGGAGUGGACGCAUCACUGGUGUUCGGGUUGUCAUGCCAAUGGCACUGCCCGGUAGCUAAAUGCGGAAGAGAUAAGUGCUGA
rnacentral:rRNA from 1 species